ACAGAUUAAACCGGAUUUGAUAAACCAAGUGAUACGUCCGGAACUUUGGUAGUAGUAAUUCGAGGAUAGCUUCAUUCAUGCCGGUUCUCGGUCAAGCAAAAGCGCCACCAUACCAAUUCCGAAGAAGAGAGAGAAAGUCUGCUGACGCCGUCGAGUUUCUCUCUCUAAAACCCGCACAUAUUCAUCUAAUCCUUGUAAGAUUUUGUGUUAAUUUCUCUUUUGUGAAUUGACUUUUUUUUAUAUAUUAAUAGUAUUUGGUGUAUAAUUUUGAUCAAAGUUAUUUCAGGUUUGCUGAUUGUUUUUUCACUUGCAAUAUGAUUCAGAUCAAUUAUUAAUUGGAUAUUUCAACAACUGCUACGGAGUAACUUCUUGCAGUUGUGUGUAUCUACGGAAGGGUAUAAAGAUGGAUUUGGUUGCUAGUUGCAAG
rnacentral:lncRNA from 1 species